AUUGAACGCUGGCGGCAGGCCUAACACAUGCAAGUCGAGCGAGCGGCGGACGGGUGAGUAAUGUCUGGGGAACUGCCUGAUGGAGGGGGAUAACUACUGGAAACGGUAGCUAAUACCGCAUACUAUCGGAUGAACCCAGAUGGGAUUAGCUAGUAGGUGGGGUAAAGGCUCACCUAGGCGACGAUCCCUAGCUGGUCUGAGAGGAUGAUCAGCCACACUGGAACGGAGACACGGUCCAGACUCCUACGGGAGGCAGCAGUGGGGAAUAUUGCACAAUGGGCGCAAGCCUGAUGCAGCCAUGCCGCGUGUAUGAAGAAGGCCUUAGGGUUGUAAAGUACUUUCAGCGGGGAGGCGUUACCCGCAGAAGAAGCACCGGCUAACUCCGUGCCAGCAGCCGCGGUAAUUC
rnacentral:rRNA from 1 species